CCUACGGGAGGCAGCAGUGGGGAAUAUUGCACAAUGGGGGAAACCCUGAUGCAGCAACGCCGCGUGAGUGAAGACGGUUUUCGGAUUGUAAAGCUCUGUUUGUAGGGAAGAGGAAGGACGGUAGCUGCAGAGCAAGCCACGGCUAACUACGUGCCAGCAGCCGCGGUAAUACGUAGGUGGCAAGCGUUGUUCGGAAUAACUGGGUGUAAAGGGUGCGUAGGCGGUUAAACAAGUCAGAUGUUAAAUAUAUAGGCUUAACCUGUAGAAAGCAUAUGAAACUGGUUAACUUGAGUGCAGGAGAGGUAAGCGGAAUGCCUAGUGUAGCGGUGAAAUGCGUAGAUAUUAGGAAGAACACCGGUGGCGAAGGCGGCUUACUGGACUGUAACUGACGCUGAGGCUUGAGAGUGUGGGGAGCAAACAGGAUUAGAUACCCGAGUAGUC
rnacentral:rRNA from 1 species